UACGAAGGGUGCUAGCGUUGUUCGGAAUCACUGGGCGUAAAGCGCGCGUAGGCGGCUUUUCAAGUCAGAGGUGAAAUCCCCAGGCUCAACCUGGGAAUUGCCUUUGAAACUGUAAAGCUGGAGUGUCGGAGGGGAUAGCGGAAUUGCUAAUGUAGAGGUGAAAUUCGUAGAUAUUAGCAGGAACACCGGUGGCGAAGGCGGCUAUCUGGACGACAACUGACGCUGAGGCGCGAAAGCGUGGGGAGCAAACAGG
rnacentral:rRNA from 1 species